CUACCCGCUGAACUUAAGCAUAUCAAUAAGCGGAGGAAAAGAAACCAACAGGGAUUGCCUUAGUAACGGCGAGUGAAGCGGCAACAGCUCAAAUUUGAAAUCGGGCUUUCGGGCCCGAGUUGUAAUUUGUAGAGGAUGCUUUUGGCGCGGUGCCUUCCGAGUUCCCUGGAACGGGACGCCUUAGAGGGUGAGAGCCCCGUACGGUUGGACGCCUAGCCUCUGUAAAGCUCCUUCGACGAGUCGAGUAGUUUGGGAAUGCUGCUCAAAAUGGGAGGUAAAUUUCUUCUAAAGCUAAAUACCGGCCAGAGACCGAUAGCGCACAAGUAGAGUGAUCGAAAGAUGAAAAGCACUUUGAAAAGAGGGUUAAAUAGCACGUGAAAUUGUUGAAAGGGAAGCGUUUAUGACCAGACUUUUUCUAGGCGGAUCAUCCGGUGUUCUCACCGGUGCACUUCGCCUAGUUUAGGCCAGCAUCGGUUUCUUUAGGGGGAUAAAAACAGUGGUAAUGUGGCUCCCUCGGGAGUGUUAUAGACCGCUGUAUAAUACCUUUAGGGGGACCGAGGUUCGCGCUCUGCAAGGAUGCUGGCGUAAUGGUCAUUAACGACCCGUCUUGAAACACGGACCAAGGAGUCGAACAUUUAUGCAAGUGUUUGGGUGUUAAACCCCUACGCGUAAUGAAAGUGAACGGAGGUGAGAGCCUUUUAGGUGCAUCAUCGACCGAUCCUGAUGUUCUCGGAUGGAUUUGAGUAUGAGCAUAACUGUUCGGACCCGAAAGAUGGUGAACUAUGCGUGGAUAGGGUGAAGCCAGAGGAAACUCUGGUGGAGGCUCGCAGCGGUUCUGACGUGCAAAUCGAUCGUCAAAUCUGCGCAUGGGGGGCGAAAGACUAAUCGAACCUUCUAGUCGCUGGGUUUCCAGGCGAAGUUUCCCUCCAGGAAGUGUAA
rnacentral:rRNA from 1 species